rfam:Staphylococcus saprophyticus subsp. saprophyticus ATCC 15305 DNA, complete genome.
AUUCAUCUUCGGGGUAGGGUGCAAUUCCCAACCGGCAGUAAAUAAAGCCUGCGACCCAUUUUAUUAUAUAUAAUAAAAUGGCUGAUCUAGUGAAAAUCUAGAGCCGACAGUAAAGUCUGGAUGGGAGAAGAUGGAG